AUCUUCCAAAAGUUAGGAUUGGUAAUGAAAGACCCCCGGAGUGGGGAGACCCUCACUCAAGUCUCAGGAUGACUCGACCCCCCAAGAACACACGAGAGACU
rnacentral:pre_miRNA from 14 species